rnacentral:rRNA from 1 species
UACGAAGGGUGCAAGCGUUACUCGGAAUUACUGGGCGUAAAGGGCGCGUAGGCGGCCUGCUAAGUCGGAUGUGAAAUCCCUCGGCUCAACCGAGGAACUGCAUCCGAUACUGGCGGGCUUGAAUCCGGGAGAGGGAUGUGGAAUUCCAGGUGUAGCGGUGAAAUGCGUAGAUAUCUGGAGGAACACCGGUGGCGAAGGCGGCAUCCUGGACCGGUAUUGACGCUGAGGCGCGAAAGCUAGGGGGAGCAAACGGGGAUUA